AUUGAACGCUGGCGGCAGGCCUAACACAUGCAAGUCGAGCGGAGCGGCGGACGGGUGAGUAAUGCCUAGGAAUCUGCCUGGUAGUGGGGGAUAACGUCCGGAAACGGGCGCUAAUACUGCAUACUAUCACAUGAGCUUAGGUCGGAUUAGCUAGUUGGUGGGGUAAAGGCCUACCAAGGCGACGACCCGUAACUGGUCUGAGCGGAUGAUCAGUCACGCGGGGACUGGGACACGGUCCAGACUCCUACGGGAGGGAGCAGUGGGGAAUAUUGGACAAUGGGAGAAAGGCUGAUCCAGCCAUGCCGCGUGUAUGAAGAAGGUCGUCGGAUUGUAAAGCACUUUAAGUUGGGAGGCGUUACCAACAGAAUAAGCACCGGCUAACUUCGUGCCAGCCGCCGCGGUAAUAC
rnacentral:rRNA from 1 species